rnacentral:rRNA from 1 species
CACGUAGGGCGCAAGCGUUGUCCGGAAUUAUUGGGCGUAAAGAGCUCGUAGGCGGUCUGUUGCGUCCGCUGUGAAAACUCGGGGCUUAACCCCGAGCCUGCAGUGGAUACGGGCAGACUAGAGGUAGGUAGGGGAGAAUGGAAUUCCCGGUGUAGCGGUGAAAUGCGCAGAUAUCAGGAGGAACACCGGUGGCGAAGGCGGGUCUCUGGCGUCACUGACGCUGAGGAGCGAAAGCGUGGGGAGCGAACAGG